UGAUGAUGAUUUGUAGAUGUGGUACAUACAUAACGAGAAUUUUGACCGGUCAUUUAUUUAUGAUGUUUAUGAUUGUUAACUGCUUACACGGGUUCUUUUGAGUAAAAUCCCCGUGUAUUGCUUAUGUGGCAAGUUCAAUCUAUAGCUCUAAGAGCUAGUUUUCAUUGAUUUUCGGCUUAUGUCCACUGAGUAUUCUGUACUCAGCCCUGCAUGUAUUUCUAAACGUGCAGGAUAAGCGAGGAGGGAGAUUGGACUGGUGCUGGCAGGGAUUUUGUUUCAGAUAAUCUUCAUUAUACCGUAAUUAUAUUCCUUGCGGUAACAUCAAGAUGUUGAAGUUUAUUUUGAACUUAAUCAAGAAAUUUACUCUCGGCUAUAUGUCUUCAUACAUAUAGUCUUUUCGUAUUUUGCUGCGAUACUCUGUAUAUCCCGAGUCAUUGUGAGUAAUUAGCUAUGUCUACUUUGUAAAGGUUGACAAGAAUCUCAAUAAUUUAAAAGUUAUAAAGCCAAUAAUAUUUUUAUUGAUGAUGAUGUCAUCUUUCUUGAUUUAUCACGUUUCAGUGAUUGCUUCCGCUUGACGUGCAAUCUAGUUUUGUCUUUUGACCUUAUUAAUAUAUUUAGUCGUAUCGAUACCCGGUUUACGCUAUCACUGGCUAGGCGUCGGGCUGCGACAUAUUCUUAUUUUACUUUUAAUAUGUGUUUCUUGAUUGUGCAAAGAAUUUGAGUUUUAUUGCAACACGAUUGUAAGUAUGUAAAACGUGAUUUGUCCGGUAGAUGCUAGAAGGAGUGUUGUCAUUGUGAUUGCCUACGAUCGUAUCCUUAUCUGUGAAUAAUGCUGGACGAAUUGCCAUUUCUAAAAAUGUCAGCUCUGAAACAUAUGGCCAGCUCUGAAACGUGACAGCUCUGAGUCUCUGCUCCUCUGGUCUAACUAUGAGCAUGGGAAACCACGUGAAAAGACUUUGGAUUACAUCCAAAUGGUUUUUAUUUCAUGAAUUAUGGCUCAACUGUCCAAAAACUUAAGCACACAAAGUGUAAAAAAAAUGGUGAUAUUGAUUAUAAAGGCGAUCACAUUAGGGAAUUCACUUCUAGCGGAGAAUUGGGUAUGAUCGAAUUACUUGCAUUACUGUUUUGUUGCUUCGUAAACUUUAAGUUACUUGCAUGAUCAAGAGAUGUGUGUUGAUUGUAAAAUUUUGAAUUGACUUUGUGAAUGUUUGGAUGGAAAUAAGCAUCGUUGAAAUCAAUCUCUUCCUAAGAUUCAUAUUGAUUUUGCUUGAGGACAAGCUGAUUUAUGCUUAAUUGUUCUAAAUUUUGGGGUUUGCAUGUACUUUUUAAGUUAAAUCUUCUGAAAUGGUGCGUUUUAUGGUUAUUUUAUGCUUUUCGGAGAUUUAGUUUCGAGAUGAAAGUGCAAAUUUUGGAGAUUUGGGCUAAGAAUUACGUUUUUGUGCAUGCUCUGGCACGUCAGAGAAGUGAAGCCCCGCAUGCCAGAGCAGCGAAAAGGGAAGCCAGAGAAAUGCUCCAGAUCCAGAGAAGUCAUUCGCCAGAGCAGCGAAAUCACUAGUCAGAGAAGUCAUAAGCCAGGCCAGAGAAAUCAAUAUCCAGUGCAGCGAAAUCGAAAACGCCAGAGGAAUAUAAGCGCCAGCGGAAUCGCCAUCAGAGAAACCGGAGCCAGAGCGGAACCGUUCCUGGCGAGAGCCCGAUUUCCGCCAGGGUGGAGAUUAUUUCAGAGCGCGCGACACAGCUGGAAGUUGCCUUUCUUCACGAUUCUAUUGCCUUUAGAGUUCUACUUUGCAUGGCAACUUCCAUGGUGAUCCAUAGGGAUUCGAAGUCUAUAAAUAGGGCCAUACUUUUCAUUGUAAGAUCAUCGCUUGCCCUAGUUUUAGACGCCAUCUUUGCGAUCUGUUGGCAUCCGAAGCUUAGGAUUUACUUGCUUUCAUAGUUCUUUAUAGUUUUCAGAUUCAUUGUUUUAAGUUAGAUUUCAAUUCAGUUUUUAGUUUAUUCUUGGAUUGUGAUUGAGUGACACAAUUACAUGUUCAAGACGUUUACGGUAUUUCGUAUUUCAAUUCAAUUUAUUUCGUUUAAUCAUGUUUACGUUUUUCAUUCAAGUUCAUGCUUUCUUUUUAAUUAUGCAAUUUAAAUUAUGCACUUUAGUUUCACGCCUAGAUUAGAAGUCUUUAAAUUUACAAGUAUUUAAUUUCUUAAGUUAGGUUUAAUUUGAGUUGUUUAAAUUCUUGCCUAGGUUAAGUUUAAAUUCAAGUCAAGUUUAAUUUAAGUUUAAGUUUCAGUUUUUAAAUCAAAAUCUUUACUGCUUCCUUUUAUUGCUUUUUCCUACGAUACUACUAAGAGCCCUUAAAGACUUUCCUUGAGAGAUGACAUUGGGUCAACUUACCAUCACUAGGAUGUCCUUGUUCUAUUGCAAGUCAACUUAGAGGUGUUUCUAGUUGAGUCACAAGCAAAAGGCUAAGUGUGGGGGGUUGAUCAUGUGCAUAUUUAAGUUGAAUCUUCUGGAAAUUUGUGCGUUUUAUGGUUUGUUUUAUGCUUUGCAGGAGAUUUAGGUUUUAUAGAUGGAAGAGUGUAAUUUUGGAGAUUUUGGGUUUAGAAUGGCGUUUUUAAGAACACUCUGGUGUACAGAGCUGAAAAGCCCACGCCAGAGCUGAAAAGCCGCGCCAGAGCUGAAAAGCCCGCUGCAGAGCAGAGCAGAGAAGCUCGCCAGAGCAGAGCNUAGUUUUUAUUGAUUUUCGGCAUAUGUCCACUGAGUAUUCUGUACUCAGCCCUGCAUGUAUUUCUAAACGUGCAGGAUAAGCGAGGAGGGAGAUUGGACUGGUGCUGGCAGAGAUUUUGUUUCGGAUGAUCGUCAUUAUACCGUAAUUAUAUUCCUUGCGGUAACAUCAAGAUGUUGAGGUUUAUUUUGAACUUAAUCAAGAAAUUUACUCCCGGCUAUAUGUCUUCAUACAUAUAGUCUGUUCGCAUUUUGCUGCGAUACUCUGUAUAUCCCGAGUCAUUGUGAGUAAUUAGCUAUGUCUACUUUGUAAAGGUUGACAAGAAUCUCGAUGAUUUAAAAGUUAUAAAGCCAAUAAUAUUUUUAUUGAUGAUGAUGUCAUCUUUCUUGGUUUAUCACGUUUCAGUGAUUGCUUCCGCUUGACGUUCGAUCUAGUUUUCUCUUUUUACCUUAUUAAUUUAUUUAGUC
rnacentral:lncRNA from 1 species